CCAGCUCCAAUAGCGUAUACUAAAGUUGUUGCAGUUAAAAAGCUCGUAGUUGACUUUCUGGUCGUGGUCCCUGGUCCGCGCCUCACGGCGUGUGUUUACUGGGUUGUCCGCAGCCAUCUUCGGGGGCGUUUUCGCAUCUGGCAUUCACUUGUCGGGUGCGGGGAUCCUCGUCAUUUACUGUGAGUAAAAUAGAGUGUUCAAAGCAGGCUUAUGCCGUUGAAUAUAUUAGCAUGGAAUAAUAAGAUAAGACUUUGGUCUAUUUUGUUGGUUUGUGUCCAAAGUAAUGAGCAAUAGGGACAGUUGGGGGUAUUCGUAUUCCAUUGUCAGAGGUGAAAUUCUUGGAUUUAUGGAAGACGAACUACUGCGAAAGCAUUUACCAAGGAUGUUUUCA
rnacentral:rRNA from 1 species